CAAAUUAGUUGCAAAAACGGGGUGGCCAAAGUUCAACCAAUAACCCUGUACAUAUUGAAACUUCAGAAGUGACUUCAGAAGGGACAUUUUCCUGACAUUAUAAAGAUUCAGAAUUUCAAACAAACAGACAUAGUGAAAGAAAAGCAAAAUUCCUAGUUUUCUAUCAGGAUUUUAAUAAGCCGCAAAAAGCAGUAGCAUAUCAAGAUAUCAAGACACUUCAACUCUACCUAACGUCAGCUUAACUGACAGGCAAAGCGCAGUUAACCAAGGACGACAACCUGGCUCCCAUUUGGCAAACCCACUUAAAUUCCGCAUCCCAUAAAUGGUACAAAACCGCGAACCCGAGCCAGUCAUUUGAAAAUCUUCCAAUGUCAAUGUUUUACAGCAAUAAAUCGGCAUUGAAUAUUUUUUGCUGAUGAAUAAACAAUAUGGAAACAAA